AGAGUUUGAUCCUGGCUCAGGACGAACGCUGGCGGCGUGCUUAACACAUGCAAGUCGAGCGGUAAGGCCCUUCGGGGUACACGAGCGGCGAACGGGUGAGUAACACGUGAGCAACCUGCCCCUGACUCUGGGAUAAGCGGUGGAAACGCCGUCUAAUACCGGAUACGACCCGCCACCUCAUGGUGGAGGGUGGAAAGUUUUUCGGUCAGGGAUGGGCUCGCGGCCUAUCAGCUUGUUGGUGGGGUAACGGCCUACCAAGGCGAUUACGGGUAGCCGGCCUGAGAGGGCGACCGGCCACACUGGGACUGAGACACGGCCCAGACUCCUGCGGGAGGCAGCAGUGGGGAAUAUUGCGCAAUGGGCGAAAGCCUGACGCAGCGACGCCGCGUGGGGGAUGACGGCCUUCGGGUUGUAAACCUCUUUUACCACCAACGCAGGCUCGAAGUUCUCUUCGGGUUGACGGUAGGUGGGGAAUAAGGACCGGCUAACUACGUGCCAGCAGCCGCGGUAAUACGUAGGGUCCGAGCGUUGUCCGGAAUUAUUGGGCGUAAAGAGCUCGUAGGCGGCGUGUCACGUCUGCUGUGAAAGACCGGGGCUUAACUCCGGUUCUGCAGUGGAUACGGGCAUGCUAGAGGUAGGUAGGGGAGACUGGAAUUCCUGGUGUAGCGGUGAAAUGCGCAGAUAUCAGGAGGAACACCGGUGGCGAAGGCGGGUCUCUGGGCCUUUACCUGACGCUGAGGAGCGAAAGCAUGGGGAGCGAACAGGAUUAGAUACCCUGGUAGUCCAUGCCGUAAACGUUGGGCGCUAGGUGUGGGGACUUUCCACGGUUUCCGCGCCGUAGCUAACGCAUUAAGCGCCCCGCCUGGGGAGUACGGCCGCAAGGCUAAAACUCAAAGGAAUUGACGGGGGCCCGCACAAGCGGCGGAGCAUGUUGCUUAAUUCGACGCAACGCGAAGAACCUUACCAAGGUUUGACAUCACCCGUGGACUCGCAGAGAUGUGAGGUCAUUUAGUUGGCGGGUGACAGGUGGUGCAUGGCUGUCGUCAGCUCGUGUCGUGAGAUGUUGGGUUAAGUCCCGCAACGAGCGCAACCCUUGUUCCAUGUUGCCAGCACGUAAUGGUGGGGACUCAUGGGAGACUGCCGGGGUCAACUCGGAGGAAGGUGGGGAUGACGUCAAGUCAUCAUGCCCCUUAUGUCUUGGGCUGCAAACAUGCUACAAUGGCCGGUACAAUGGGCGUGCGAUACCGUAAGGUGGAGCGAAUCCCUAAAAGCCGGUCUCAGUUCGGAUUGGGGUCUGCAGCUCGACCCCAUGAAGGUGGAGUCGCUAGUAAUCGCGGAUCAGCAACGCCGCGGUGAAUACGUUCCCGGGCCUUGUACACACCGCCCGUCACGUCAUGAAAGUCGGCAACACCCGAAACUUGCGGCCUAACCCCUUGUGGGAGGGAGUGAGUGAAGGUGGGGCUGGCGAUUGGGACGAAGUCGUAACAAGGUAACC
rnacentral:rRNA from 1 species